CAUAGCCGCGGUAAUACAGAGGGUGCGAGCGUUAAUCGGAUUUACUGGGCGUAAAGCGUGCGUAGGCGGCUUCUUAAGUCGGAUGUGAAAUCCCUGAGCUUAACUUAGGAAUUGCAUUCGAUACUGGGAAGCUAGAGUAUGGGAGAGGAUGGUAGAAUUCCAGGUGUAGCGGUGAAAUGCGUAGAGAUCUGGAGGAAUACCGAUGGCGAAGGCAGCCAUCUGGCCUAAUACUGACGCUGAGGUACGAAAGCAUGGGGAGCAAACAGGAUUAGAUACCCCCGUAGUCCCUGUCUCUUAUACC
rnacentral:rRNA from 1 species